UAGGGAAUAUUGCAAAAUGGGCGAAAGCCCGAUGCAGCAACGCCGCGUGGGCGAUGAAGGCCUUCGGGUCGUAAAGCCCUUUUUGAGGGGAUGAGGAAGGACAGUACCCUCAGAAUAAGCCUCGGCUAACUACGUGCCAGCAGCCGCGGUAAAACGUAGGAGGCGAGCGUUAUCCGGAUUUACUGGGCGUAAAGCGCGUGCAGGCGGAUUGGAGAGUUGGAUGUGAAAGCUCCCGGCUUAACUGGGAGAGGUCGUUCAAUACUUCCAGUCUUGACUGCAGUAGAGGGAAGUGGAAUUCCGGGUGUAGUGGUGAAAUGCGUAGAUAGGCGGAGGAACACCAGUGGCGAAAGCGGCUUCCUGGACUGUAACUGACGCUCAGACGCGAAAGCUAGGGUAGCAAACG
rnacentral:rRNA from 1 species